rnacentral:rRNA from 1 species
AUGGCCAGCUACCCCUACAACCCCCUCCCUCACCUCCCUCCGGGCACCACCAACAUCCCCGCUGGUCCUCUCCGAGCUCGUCGUGGAUAUGUCGUUCUAGGAGGAGAACUUCCCAUGCUAUGCGACGAGUGGGCUAUCGCCACUUUGGUCCCAGAAGUUUCUGCUGAGGAGUUCCAUGGCGCCAUUGCUCUUAUCAUCAACUAUCUUGAAGGUCGCGGUUGGCGCAUCAACUACACGUCCCGUUGCGGUAUGGGCAUGGCUCUCAUUCGAUUUACCACUGCAUGUUCUAGGGAUACAGCUGUCAGUCUUAGCCCGUUUCAGAUCAGAGACUCUGUUCUGAGGGUUACUAGGCAGGACAAAGGUUUGAACUAUCGUAGCAUUGCUUUCACCCAUGAUGUUUGGAUCUUGAUGAUGAACUACCCCGAAUGUUCGGAUGUUGGGAUUGUCAGUCGAACUAUGUCUCUUUAUUGUAAAUUUCUCAUCUGGAACAAGGAUGCUAGAGACAAAACAAGAAUUAUAGUGACACUCAACGUAUUUAAUGUUGACACUAUUCCUAUUAGCAUUGUUGUGCUUCGCAAUCUGGAUGAUGUUGGCUAUGGGGAUUCAUGGACUUGCCCUACUUACAUUCUUUCUAGGGAAUUGAUUGGGCAGCAGGGUGGUGAUGAGGACCCUCUCCCACCUGAUGGUGGCAAUCCACACCCAUUACCUCAUGUUCAUGGAGGGUUUUGG